CCGGACAGAUGGGAGCUUGCUCCCUGAUGUUAGCGGCGGACGGGUGAGUAACACGUGGGUAACCUGCCUGUAAGACUGGGAUAACUCCGGGAAACCGGGGCUAAUACCGGAUGCUUGAUUGAACCGCAUGGUUCAAUUAUAAAAGGUGGCUUUUAGCUACCACUUACAGAUGGACCCGCGGCGCAUUAGCUAGUUGGUGAGGUAACGGCUCACCAAGGCAACGAUGCGUAGCCGACCUGAGAGGGUGAUCGGCCACACUGGGACUGAGACACGGCCCAGACUCCUACGGGAGGCAGCAGUAGGGAAUCUUCCGCAAUGGACGAAAGUCUGACGGAGCAACGCCGCGUGAGUGAUGAAGGUUUUCGGAUCGUAAAACUCUGUUGUUAGGGAAGAACAAGUACCGUUCGAAUAGGGCGGUACCUUGACGGUACCUAACCAGAAAGCCACGGCUAACUACGUGCCAGCAGCCGCGGUAAUACGUAGGUGGCAAGCGUUGUCCGGAAUUAUUGGGCGUAAAGCGCGCGCAGGCGGUUUCUUAAGUCUGAUGUGAAAGCCCCCGGCUCAACCGGGGAGGGUCAUUGGAAACUGGGGAACUUGAGUGCAGAAGAGGAGAGUGGAAUUCCACGUGUAGCGGUGAAAUGCGUAGAGAUGUGGAGGAACACCAGUGGCGAAGGCGACUCUCUGGUCUGUAACUGACGCUGAGGCGCGAAAGCGUGGGGAGCGAACAGGAUUAGAUACCUGAUGUAGUCCC
rnacentral:rRNA from 1 species